CUUUAUUAUAGACCGGACGUCUUUACUCCUCAAUUUUAUUACGAGAAAAACCUGAAAUAAUCCAUUUUACCAGUACCAGCUUAAACAUAUUCAAAGUGCAAAAAGUAAAAGAGAGAAUUUCUCUGAGUGACAGGAUACAAAAAUAGAAUGUUGGCCAAAGAAUCAAAGUCACUUAUUAGAAUCCCAAAAAAUCGCAAACUUGUGUUGCAAUAAGCUGGCUACGUAACUCGAAAAACCUCUAGCGAUGGCGAGGAAAAGUUUUCCAUAGAGUUAUACACAAAUUGAAAUCGUUAGCAUAUUUUUAAGGGAAUUCUAUCUACCCAUGCAAAGCCGGGACGGAUCGCUAGUAUAACAUAAAUGAGCCAACCUACGACAAAAGGCUUAUACAGUCCUCAGGAGUGAUAACACAUGAAAUACGUUCUUUCAAUUGAAUUGUCAAUAUUUAUUCUCAGUGAGAUACUAUUAUAUACUGUUUGAUAAAGAUGUCAUCUUACCUUACUAUAGCAACAGAAACGAAAACUAAAAUAUUUAGAAAUUAUAUCUGUCUUUCUAUCUGUCUAUCUGUAUGUUUGUUCCGGCAUCACGCAAAAAAUACUGCACCAAAAUGAAUGCAGUUUUAACAUUUAUAUUUCUAAAAGUCUAACCGAUGUAUGUUUUAUUAGGAUAUGUCAGCUAAAAGAGAUCUAUCUCAUUGAUUUUCCUACUUCUAAAAUCCGCACGUACAAAGUAGCGGGAAAAGCUAGUAAAAACGUUUUUAAUUACUACAAUUUGAUUUUAUUGUUAGCUGCUUUAAUGUCUAUAUAUGCCACAAAAUAAAUUAUUUUCUCUUUUUUCAUUUUUUUUUUUAAUAGUUCUGAUAAAUAGA